rnacentral:rRNA from 1 species
UACGUAGGGUGCGAGCGUUAAUCGGAAUUACUGGGCGUAAAGCGUGCGCAGGCGGUCUUGCAAGACAGAUGUGAAAUCCCCGGGCUCAACCUGGGAACUGCAUUUGUGACUGCAAGGCUGGAGUGCGGCAGAGGGGGAUGGAAUUCCGCGUGUAGCAGUGAAAUGCGUAGAUAUGCGGAGGAACACCGAUGGCGAAGGCAAUCCCCUGGGCCUGCACUGACGCUCAUGCACGAAAGCGUGGGGAGCAAAUGGG